rnacentral:rRNA from 1 species
UACAGAGGGUGCGAGCGUUGAUCGGAAUUACUGGGCGUAAAGCGUGCGCAGGCGGGCUUUUAAGCCAGACGUGAAAUCCCCGGGCUUAACCUGGGAAUGGCGUUUGGGACUGGAAGUCUGGAGUGCGGCAGAGGAGACUGGAAUUCCUGGUGUAGCAGUGAAAUGCGUAGAUAUCAGGAGGAACACCGAUGGCGAAGGCAGGUCUCUGGGCUGACACUGACGCUCAUGCACGAAAGCGUGGGGAGCAAACAGG